rnacentral:rRNA from 1 species
AUGGAUGUCAAGUCGGCGUUUCUCAACGACGACUUGAAGGAGGAAGUCUACAUGCAUCAACCACCGGGAUUUGCGAUUCCCGGCCAGGAGGGCAAGGUACUCCGCCUGCGCAAGGCUCUCUAUGGCCUACGGCAGGCACCUAGGGCGUGGAAUGCCAAGCUGGACUCCACGCUAAAGAAGAUGGGCUUCGAGCAAAGCCCGCAUGAGGCUGCUGUCUACCGACGGGGCAGUGGAGGAAAUGCCCUGCUGGUGGGCGUCUACGUUGACGACUUGAUGAUCACCAGCACCAAAGAUGUAGAGGUGGCGGCGUUCAAGGAAGACAUGAAGGCCACCUUCCAGAUGAGUGAUCUGGGGCUCCUCUCCUUCUAUCUAAGGAUUGAGGUGCACCAGGACCACUCCGGGAUCGCGCUUCGACAGUCCGCCUACGCCAAGAGCAUCGUUGAGCUAGUUGGGCUCACCGACUGCCACCCAGCUCUCACUCCGAUGGAGGAGAGGCUGAAACUGAGACGCGAGAGCACGACGGAGGAAGUGGAUGCUACGCAGUACCGACGUCUUGUGGGGAGCCUUCGCUACCUCACCCACACACGGCCGAACUUGACAUUUUCCGUCGGCUAUGUCAGUCGGUUCAUGGAGAGACCGACCUGGCAAUCGGUCAAGCAGCAGGUGGUGGCCCUGUCCAGCUGUGAGGCUGAGUACAUAGCAGCCUCCACCGCCUGCACUCAGGCGCUCUGGCUCGCUCGACUGCUUGGUGAUCUUCUCGUUCAACACACCAGAACGGUGCAGCUCCUGGUGGACAGCAAGUCCGCCCUAGCCCUGGCAAAGAACACCAUGUUC